CUACGGGAUGCUCCAGUGAGGAAUAUUGCACAAUGGGGGGAACCCUGAUGCAGCAACGCCGCGUGGAGGAUGACGCACUUCGGUGUGUAAACUCCUUUUAUAUGUCAAGAAAAUGACGGUAGCAUAUGAAUAAGCACCGGCUAACUCCGUGCCAGCAGCCGCGGUAAUACGGAGGGUGCAAGCGUUACUCGGAAUCACUGGGCGUAAAGGACGCGUAGGCGGGUUGGAAAGUCAGGUGUGAAAUCCUACAGCUUAACUGUAGAACUGCACUUGAAACUUCUAAUCUAGAGUAUGGGAGGGGGAGAUGGAAUUAGUGGUGUAGGGGUAAAAUCCGUAGAUAUCACUAGGAAUACCUAAAGCGAAGGCGAUCUCCUGGAACAUUAUUGACGCUAAGGCGUGAAAGCGUGGGGAGCAAACAGGAUUAGAUACCCUCGUAGUC
rnacentral:rRNA from 1 species